rnacentral:rRNA from 1 species
GAUGAACGCUGGCGGCGUGCCUAAUACAUGCAAGUCGAGCGAACGGACGAGAAGCUUGCUUUUCUGAUGUUAGCGGCGGACGGGUGAGUAACACGUGGAUAACCUACCUAUAAGACUGGGAUAACUUCGGGAAACCGGAGCUAAUACCGGAUAAUAUUUUGAACCGCAUGGUUCAAAAGUGAAAGACGGUCUUGCUGUCACUUAUAGAUGGAUCCGCGCUGCAUUAGCUAGUUGGUAAGGUAACGGCUUACCAAGGCAACGAUGCAUAGCCGACCUGAGAGAGUGAUCGGCCACCCUGGAACUGAGACACGGUCCAGACUCCUACGGGAGGCAGCAGUAGGGAAUCUUCCGCAAAGGGCGAAAGCCUGACGGAGCAACGCCGCGUGAGUGAUGAAGGUCUUCGGAGCGUAAAACUCUGUUAUUAGGGAAGAACAUAUGUGUAAGUAACUGUGCACAUCUUGACGGUACCUAAUCAGAAAGCCACGGCUAACUACGUG